GCUGGUGUAGAGGAUGAACAGCGGGUUCUCGGCGUCCAGCCACUCAGGCUCACACACAUCAGGAGAUUCUUUCAUCGCCUCGUCCCAAAACACGUCACACUCGGCGUCCCAGGGGGUCUGAAGGCAACACACCAACCAACAGUGACUCAUGUUCCCACUCUGAGUGCCGUCCCCAGCAGCUCCGUGAAGUAAAUAGAGGCGGCUGCCGAGAACCGGGGAACUGGACCUACUUUUCCCGGCACUUCUCCAGAGCCUCGUCUGCAAUCUGCUUCAGGCUGAUGAGCUUCUCUCCUCGGUAAACGCCGUCUGACGGAGGGAGGAGCAGGGAGACGGACAGACAGAUGAUAAUAAGGUUGACCGUUCCAGCCAACAUUUGCUUAUUCACAUCCAGCAGACGUGGAGCAACGUUAGGAUUUAACUGGCUCUGUGUUUCUGGACGUCCAGCCUUCGCUCUGUUCCUGAGACUUCACUACUGGUCAUCUGGCAUGUCCUGUCCAUAGUCUGAGGUGGCCGUGGCCUCUGCCCCUGACAGUUAUUUUUAAAACUGAAGCCCUCCUCAUUCCUGUGAGGUUUGUGAACACGGUGGGUUCAUCUCUUACCACGAUGGAGUGGACAGCACCUAUCCGGGCACAGGCCAGCAUGGUGUAGACCAGCUCUGGGAUCAUGGGCAGAUAGAUGGACACCCUGUCGCCCUUUUUCACACCUCAACAAAAGAAACAAACAGAAGCCAUUCUCAGCUUGUGAAGUAUUAAAUUUCGUAACGCGAUACGUCUGGGUAACGUCUGAGCUCAGUUCCAACAAUGACAGCUAUGCUCUAUGUGAGCCAGACGAUGUACUGUAUGUCUGUAAAUACACCGAUGUACUAUAUCAAGCUCUAUCUGUUGAGCUGAGACAAAGGAAAAACCUGAACCCUUGAGUACUGAAGUGAAAUGAACCAUGAUGAAACAUUUCUGUCUGGAUGGCAUCCAUAGGUCACUGAAUAGUUUGAUGGAAUUGAUGUGAAUUAUGUGCAGUGACCUUCACAGUCACCAGAUCUCAGCCGAACUGAACACAGAUGGGAGAUUUUGGACCAACACUCGUCAAAACCAUCAUCAAAACACUGAAUGAGGGACUGUCUUUGAACAGAAUGGUGUUUGUCCCCCCGGUAGAGUUUCACAGAAUUGGAAAAUCAAUGUGAAGGAACACUGGAGUUGUUCUGGUGACUGGUUGUGGCCCAUUUUAUGUUGGGUUUUCCUUUAAUUUGUCACCCAUUUGAACAUGGAAACACUAUUAUUGUCACUGGAAACAUUGUUCAUGCCCAUAUCCUAGAUUUUAAAUGAUACUUUUGCACUCAGAUUUUAGUCACAGAAAGUUAAAUUUAUAUACUGAAGAUACAGACUCCUGACUUUGAGUGUUCAUCAUGGUGUUUAUUAAUUUUUUUAUUCUAGUCUUAUUGUUUUACCUUAUUUACUUAAAUUUUCAGCAACGUAUGAAAACAACGUCCUGUCUUACUGCAUUUGUCAUGUUAUGUAAUUUAGUUUUCGAAGCAAAAUCUGAGAAUUUGUUUUCUUCUGGAUUAAUAAAAUCUUAUCAUAUCGUAUCUCAUCUCAUCGUAUCUCAUCUCAUCAUAUCUCAUCUCAUUUCAUCUCAUCGCAUGUUAUCUCAUCAUAUCACCCAAACUUUCUGAAAGUAAAAAGUACUGAUUAAUACCAAUGAUUUUAAGGAAGUAAUGACUUUUACAUCAUGUUUUCCUCUGACGUCUGACUGUUGGGUACUAGUACUCAUGUUUUUGUGUUCUCACCCAUUUGCUUGAGGACGUUGGCGCAGCGGCAGACAUGGCUGAGCAGCUGGCAGUAGGUGAUGGUCAUGUGAUGGUCGGGUGAGUUCCCCUCCCUGAGAAGACGAUGAAAGAGGAGAAACACUUUUAAGUCUAUCGGUGUGCUACAAAAUCUGACAAAAAAUCUAUGAAGGUCUGUAUAUGUGUGUUGGUUAUAGAGCUCUAACCAGGAGUUUGGCUUUUUAAAAAAAAUAUUCUCAUCCUUCCAGAUAACCUGCUUCCUUUAAAAGUGCCAUCUCAGACAGCGUGAAGCUGUGGGUUCUGCAAGUUCAUCGGGCAGAUAACCUGUUCCUGUUGUUGCUGUGUCUAUAUUAGGGUUGAAUGCUUGACAGGGCAGUUUUUUGGAAAACUCUGCGGUGCAGUGAUUCAGAGGCCAGCAGACAGUGAGUAGCUCGCCUCUGGUUUGGGACAGAAGCCAAAACCCUGCAACAAGCUGGCAGGAACCUUAUCGCAAGGCUGGGAUGGUGAAAUAAGCCAUUCUAGUGAUGAAACAGCUAUUUAUGAAUUGACCUGAAGAGCAGCGAUGGUGUGAUAGGAAAUGUUCAGUGCUAAGGGACUGUCUGUUCUAGGAGACAUGUUUGUUUUCAGGAACUUUAUCUUCUCCUUUUGGGAAGCAGAAUGAUGUGGAGUCUCCAGAGGAUCUUUCUAAUUGAAUCUUUUACAUUCUAGUAGCUAAAAUUAUAAAAAUAACGUUUCUGUCAUUUGAUGUUUAGAUGAACAGUGCACUGAACAAGCUGAGAGGAUCAUUUAGAUCAGAGGUGUCCAACAUGAGGCCCGUGGGCCAAAAGCAGCCCUCCAGAGGGUCCAAUCCGGCCCUCAGAGUGUAAAAAUCCCAGAGAAGGCAUUAACUGCAGAUUGUAAAUUAGUAAAACUAUAAAUUUAAAAUCAUUUCUAGACCAUGACAAGUUGUUUUGAUCAUGAAGUGAAAUACUAGAUUGUUCAUUGUUCUUUUGUCGUUUUGUGUCUCAUUUUUGUAAUAUUUUGUCUCGUUUUGAUGUUUUUUGUCGGACUUUUGUUGUUUAUCACGUGUUUUUGUCGUUUUGUUUCUGGUUUUUGUUGUUUUUGGUCUUGUUUGUUUCAUUUGUGUAUCUUUUGUCUAUUUUUUUCCUCUUUUUUGUUUUGUGUUUGUCUCAUUUUUUUUGUUGUUUUGCAUCUUGUUUUUGUAAUAUUUUGUCUUGUUUUUGUCUGACUUUUGUCGUUUUGAUCAUAAAUUAAAAUCCUCUAUGGUUCAGUUCCAGAUGACUAAAUGUUGUGUUCCUUUGUCGACACUCUGUGAUCUGGAAGUUGUAAUGUAGAAAUGAUAAACUGAGGCUGAAUGUUGUUGAAACUGAAUUUAUUUUUCUUCAGAAAUUUCAGGUUCAUGAUGUUUUGUAAAAAGAUAAUUCCUUAAAUGUGAACAUUUUCAAACAAAUGAACCAUUAGGAGUUGUGGUUAUUUAUAGGUUAUUAUGUUGUGGUUUUACUGGUCUGGUCCACUGGAAAUCAAACUGGGCUGAAUGUGGAACCUGAACUAAGAUGAAUUUCACACCCCUGAUUUAGAUGAUAAUAAAGUAGCUUAUAGAUAAAGUAGAGAACUGACAAAAUCUAAUUGCGGAUUCUCAGAUCUUUCUUAAAUCGCUCUUUAGCAGCUGAUUCUCUUUCAGAACUAAGUCCAUUGCUCCAGUCAAAGAAUUGGGCUUUAAUAUCUUUAUCUAUUUAUAAAUCACUUAAAAAAUGCUUUAGGACCAAAACACUUCUCCACAAUGAACUCACUAAAGCUCUGCAGUCGCCUCCAUAAAACCCAAACAUGGUGAAGCCGCUUUUAGCUGCAGAUAUUUAAACAAAUUCCACAAUAUCUCCUACUGACGCCACGUUUUAAAGCAGCUAACAGCGAAUCGAAGCUGAAAAUUCAACGUUUCCUGGACUUUGUGCUGUCAAAGAUUUCAGCUUUACACAUUUUUUGCUUUUACUUUUGCUUGACUUUUACUAGGUUUUCUUUUAGACCUCUGAUUUUGUCUAGCUUUGUCUUUUAUUGCCUGAAAAGGAGAAAAAGUAAAAUCACACAGAGAUUUCUCAUUAUGUAAGAUGCUUGCAGUUAUUGCAGAUAAUGCAAACUCUUACAAACAUAAUGUUUCUGCAACAUUUGAAGCAACUAAUAAAGUUUUUUUCAAUGGCUUAAUUUAUUCACUCAACCACUAAUACACAAAAUGAGUUGCUGAGCUCAUUUGAAACUGAAACCAGUCAUUAUUUGGACAUUCCAGGCUUAAGAAAAAAUUUCCCGACACAAAACAUCUUGUAUAAUAAACCAGAUAAUUAUCAGCAUCUGCCCUGUUAAAACAAUUUAACCCUCGUGUCGUCCUGUGGGUCAAAUCGACCCGUUUUAAAGUUUGAAAAUGUGCAAAAAAAACAUUUUCACAGUGAAACCUCUGAUGUCCACAUUUUCAACAUUUUUGGGAAAUUUUUGAACAUUUUUUGGUGCAAAAAAAGAAAUGCUAAAAAAAAAAAAUGUUUCUUAAGAACAUUCACCAAAAAAAAUCUACCAAAAUCCAGCGAGUUUCACUGGAUUUUGGUUGGUUUUUAUGUGAAUGUUCUUAAAGAAAAUAUUAGAAGUUUUAUUGAUAUAUAUGGAAUCACUUUAGAUAUUUUUAGGAUUUGUUGGAAGAUUUUUAUUCAAUUACAUUGUAAAUUUUUAAAAUUUUUAUUUCUUGCCAAAUUUGGGGGAUUUUUUUUUUUUUUAAAUAAAACUUUUAAGGAAUUUUUGGAAUUUUCUUCCUGAAGAUUUUACAAAUUUUUAUAAAUUUGGGGAAUUUUUUGGUGAGUUUUUGGAUUUUUUUUCAGACAAGGGAACAACUUUUUUUGGUGCCCGUAAAUGAGGACAACAGGAGGGUUAAAGGAAAGCCUCUACGACUGAUUUCUUCUGUGAGGGAUUUAAGUUUAUGUUAACAGCUUUAAAUUGUUGGUUUGAUUUGUUAAACGAUUUGUUAAACCUCUUGAAUGCUCACAUUUCUAUUUAUGGGUGGCAAUUUGACAUUUUUGUUUAACUGCAAGCAUCAACUAGUGAACUUGAAAGGGCACGCAUUUGAUUCUAAAAUACACUUUGCAGUCAUUUUUUUCUUGGCUUGAAACAGUUUUGCAAAUUGUGUUGGGACAAGGCGUGGGCGAAAGUCGUAUAAAUGUUUAACUGGAGGUGAAAACAAACCAGCUGAGAGACGGAUGCAGCUCGCCAUAGGAGGAGGAUACACAAACACUCGAGCAGACGCAUUACAUAAGUGCUUCUGAUGUGGUGCAAACAGCAUUAAGACACUUGCACUGGUGUUUUCCAGCUGCAUCGAACCCCUAUACUGCUGAGCUGGCAGGGCCACUAUUUCUUGUUUGCUAAGCGUCUCCAGUUGACAGAGCAAAUAUGUGCCAUCAUGCAACUUCAGACCAACAUAAAGCACCGCAUUUAUGGUGAAAUGCACGGUGAGCUUUUAGUCCAGGGGAGUCCAACUCAUUCUAGUUCAGGCUCGACAUUCAGCCCAGUUUGAGCUCCAGUGGAUCAGACCAGUAAAACCACAGCAUAAUAACCACAACUCCUAAUGGUUCCUUUGUGUUAGUGUGAAAAAGUAGAUUCUGAAAAUGUUCACAUUUAAGGAAUUGUCUUCUAAAAAAAUAUCAUGUACAACCUGAAAUUUCUGGAGAAAACUAAAGCGAAACACAAAACAAAAAAACGAGAAACGGAACGACAAAAACAUGAGACAAUAUGAUAAAAGCCAGACAAAAGAGACAAAAAACUACAAAAACAAGACAAAAUAUUACAAAAAUGAGACAGAAAAUUACAAAAGAACAAUCUAGUAUUUUACUUUCUGAUCAGAACAACUUGUCAUGGUCUAGAAAUUUUUUUAAAUUUAUAGUUUUACUAAUUUACAAUCUGCAGUUAAUGUCUUCUCUGGAAUUUUUACACUUUGAGGACCGGAUUGGACCCUCUACAGGGAGUGUCCAACAUGUGGCCCGCGGUCCGCAUGUUGGACACUCCCGUUUUAGUCUUAUUCUGCAAACAAAUGCAUGAGGAUCUUAUUGGACCGAUGCUGUGUGUUUUAUUGAACAAAUUGCAUCCAAAAUGUGUUUGAAAUUGUGUUUAAACUUCAUGGUUGAUGUUCCUUUUGACUCUGAGCAGGCGGACGGUGGACUGUGCUGACAGGAGGUUUGUUUUGGUGCACUGGUGUCGGUUCAGAGAGGACACAGCAGUUGUUAUUGACUAGAAUACCUGACAUAACUCCAGGCAGUUUCCCAUCAAAGCCAUCAUUCACUCUGCUGCUGUUUACCAGUAAUAGGCCACCUUCUCUCCGAGGCCGCCCUCCUUCACAUGCCGGUCCAGGACGUUAUAGCACAUGUUGGUUUUGGCCCCCUCCAUGCAUUUCACGUAAAUGCUCCCCUUUGUCACGUCAAAGUUGUGCUGCAGCAUCGGCCCCGUGGCCGGCGUCUUCCAGAAGAACUCAUCGGCAAUCUCCUUCCAGAAAGCUGAAACAAAGUGGUAGAACAGAGAGGCACUGUGGGCUCAUUGGGAAGCCAAGAAACACUAAAAAUACGGACGUGCACUGGAAAAAAUGCUCCUCUCCAAACAAGAAAAAAAAUUAUUUUCAAACUUUAAAAUGGGUCCGUUUUGACCCACAGGACGACACGAGGGUUAAACUAUAUUUUACCAGGAUUGUCAAGCUUAGGUGUCUUAAAAUAAGCCAGACAUGCUAAAAAAUAGCAGUUUUUCACUCAAAAAUAGAUUUUUGCUUUCAUGUAACCUCCUAAUUUGAGAUGUAUUAAACUCAUUUUGAGUUUUCUUGUAAAAUUCAACUCAAAAGAAGAUAUUUAAGAUGCAUUGUCUUAAAACAAGUCCCUCCAUCUUACUGAAAUGUCACUUGUUCAGUGAAUUUAUCUUAAAUCAAGUGGGAUGAGACAUUUUGACUAAAAAUAGGACAAACAGUCUUGGUAAGAUUCAGAGUUUUUGCAGUGUGUCUGACCUACCUUCUGGAUUCUCUAGAGACUUCCUGUAAGAUGCCAGGUAGGAGUUAAAGUCAGGUACAUGAGCAUCCCUCUGCAGGUCGCCAGGAGGGUAGAACAUUUUGUCCUGAGAUUCAGGAACAACCAUUGCGGAAGGACAGAUGCAGGCAGGCCCUGAUCAUCAGAGGGGACGUCAGGAAGCAGGUUAAUCUGGAGCCACGGCUGAUCCGUCUGGAGGUGAGAAGACCUCCUGCACUGAAGCAAUACAGUGAGUCCAGCAUGCAGACCCACCUCUAAUCCCCAUCUGCAGGCUGGGCUCAGUCUGUUUAGUGUCAGGGCAGCCAAUCGGCCUGCAGAGGUGCGGCACUCCCACUUUUUCAUUGGGUGCGCCCUCCCUGGCCUGCUGAUCACAUUAUGUUUCUGAGCCAGGGGGGUGGAGGAGGAGGAGGAGGAGGAGGAGGUGUGCAGUGGAAUGAAUGCAGGGAUUCAGAGAGAGGUUUGGUUUGACAGGGAGGGUGAUGGGUGCUCAGAAAAAAGAAAAAUAAACAACAGAGAUGGGAACUAACAGCAAACAAAGUCACUGAUCUUAACUUUAUUCACAUAUAAUUUCAUAUUUCAUAGUUUGUAUUUAUUCCACUUGCAACCUUUGUUAGUGUUUUUCACUUUGAAUCCCUCUGUAAGGUCACUGUAACACCAGCACAACUUUUACUCUCUGGUUCUGCCAAUAUAAGUUAUAAUGACUGUUCCCUCUAAGCUGCGCGCGUGCGCAAUUGCGCACUACUGACACGGUCUCCGCGCACAGAAAAUCUGCGCUGCGCACAAAAAAAAAAAAUCCAACCUAAAUUGUAAAUAAAAUAAACACGAAACAGUUCAUUCUGUGCUAUUUUUCAAUGUGAGUCAGUGAGUGACCGGUGACUGGCUGCUGCAGCCAAUGAUGCGAUUCACAUACGUAUUUACCAUAGACUGUAUAUAAUGGUAUUUACGCAGCUAAUCUACGUCAGGCGUCCUUAUGUGUAGCUACCGCUGUUCUCAUAGAUAUGAAUGAGUAGAUAGGACACGCCCCUUUGAGCUGCGUACUACAGCGAGGCUAAGCUAGUGGGGGAAAGUUUCAGUGCAUUCCGUUGAUGGAGACGGCAUGAAAACGGAAACAACAAGUAUGCCGGCUCACUGUGCUGCAUACAGUUACACACUACGUCGUACGAUUGAGACAAGGAAACUUGGAAUGACUUUUCAUAGGUAAGAGUAGUUUUGGGCUCUUUUUUCAUUAUGAAAUCUUGUUGAGAGCUUCCAGUCUAUGAGAGCUAACUAGUUAGCCACUAGCAAAACACUAAGGCGAGCUAGCAGCUUGACAAGCAAAUACCAGACGAUUAAUAGUAGCUGUAGUAUAGUUGUACAAGCAGUAGUAGUAAUACUAAAAGUACAAGCAGCAGUAGUAGUAUAAACAGCUGUUAGAGUCGUAGAAGUAGUAUCAACAUUUGUAAUAGUAUUACAAGUUGUAGUAGCAGUGCCAGUAUCAGCAGCAGUAGUGAGUACUAUCAAUACUACUAGUAGUAGUCACAUUACUAUUACUACCACCAAUACUACCAAUAGUAGUUAUGAAGCCUCACUCAUGGAUAUCCAGAUUACUAUCUAUGUUCUUCCUCCAAACCCAUUUUAUGAUUGGGAUUACAGGCAGUUCUUUAGGACUGCUCUCAAAUAAUUGAAAUGUUACUAAACAAGGUUAUACUUAUCAAAUUAAAUAACUCUGGUCUCCAGUAUAUUGGCGAAUUCAGUUCUUUGUACUUAAUUUAUUAGCAUGAUUUCUUUUUAAUAUGUUGUGUACAGACUUAAUUACUUCUCUGUCUACUUUUCUUACUCCAUGUAGGUUUCCCAGAGACUAUGGGUUGAGGAGGAAUUGGAAGUUUGUCGGCUUAGACCUGGUGUCAUUCCAUCAGUGUUAAACUUCCCGGUUCAUCUUGGAAGAGUACGUGCCAGAAAGACCACAACCAAGCAGCCUUGAGAUCUUAGGCAGCGUCUCCCUGAGGUCCCUCUCUAUCUCCCCACACAUCCACCAACCACUGGAACACAUCUCCAAAGUUCUGCUGGACCAGCUCAGCUUCCCCUCAGAAGAAGUGCUGCCACCUGCCAGAUGAAGGAGCCUUUUGAGAGGCAGCUGGCAUCGUGAUUGGACUGUACUUUGGUCUGUUCCAGUCCAGCUUCAGCUCCAGAGACGGCAGGCGGGACGAGUCAACGGAGGCCGGGUGGACGAAGGCAUGCAGCUGAGUACAAUCCAGAAAACAACAGAGGAGGAGUGCAGCAGCCCAGAGCCAGAACAACCAGAGUAGCAUCACCAAAGAACUACAGACUCUUCACAACCUGCUCAAACUCUUGGUACAGGACCUCACCACACGGGUCAAGAAGGUUUCUGUCUCAUUUCUACUCUGAAGCUCACCUUCUCCUGCUCAAACUGCUGACAAAUGUUUCUGCUGCUCUAAAGUCUGCUCUCCAGAACUUCCUAAAAACUCUCAAAGUCUCUUCUGCUGCAGGUUGCUUUGUAGAACUGUUGCAGAAAACCUCACUAAACCACAUGGAGGGGCCUCAAGAUAGUCGUCUAAAUGAAACUGUACAAAAACCAAACUAGCACAACCCAAACGCUAAAGUCUCCUGCAGCCUACCAGAGAACCUCUGAGAACAGAGAAUGAGGACAGGAACUCUUACCUUCUGGACAACCAACGUUGGUUCUCAAACAAGAAUACAGAAUGUGUCUGACCAGAAACCUCUGAAGACUCACUACAGCCAAGAUAAAGACACAACUCAGCUGCACCAAAUCCACUAAUCACUGCACACAUUAGCACCAUGUGCUAACUGUGGCUAAAGAACCACAUUUACCAAGACAACUAUCCAGUACAAAGCCCUAAAACACACCAAGAAACACAUUAAAGAUGAUUUUACUGCUGGAAGCUGCAAGCCAACGCCUAAAGAACAAACUGAAGCAACGGAACCAAACCCAGUUCACCGGUGAAGAGAAACAGAGGAAAUGUUUGUCUGCAGCUAAAUAAAGCAGGAAGACACUGAGCUGCUCAGGUGUUCCUGAUACCACCAAGCUGCUCAGGUGUUCCUGAUACCACCAAGCAGCCACCUGGACAGCCAAUAGGAACACAGCUUCCUGGAAGUCCAGAGGGCGGGGUUAGUCAAGGAAAUUUAGUUUAAAAUUGAAGCAGAAAGUAAACAAAGAAAGUUGAAAACCACCUUCUGAUACCUGAAAUCUCUGAGUUUUCACACAAAGAACACCUGAACAUGUCAAACUGGUUCCAUAGUAGAACCAUCAUUGUAAAAACGUCAUAGUAUGGUGUGUUGCUCAAAAAACAUUAGGACCCGGCUGUCAGGGGACAAACAUGUAAGAAACAUGAGAACAGAGAGAACCCAACCAGUAGGUCACAGUUUAUCAUCCCCCAGUCAUCUCCUGAAGUCCAUAUGGUGAGAGACAUCAGUAUCUGGUUGUUAAUUUACCAGAGGAUGCUUAUAAUCAUGCUGAUGUGGUCUGUACUCUACAGUAUUUUAGUGACUCAAUAAAUGCCUAAGUUGUUUUUUUUAAAAUGCUUUUUAGUUUUUAAUAAACAUUUAACAGCCUAUAUGUAAUCAAUAAAUGGCCUUUGCCUAUCUUAAGAAAAAUUCACUCAGAACUCUGAUAUGUUAACAGUACUAAAUAAAUCAAUAAAUACAUGCAUACACACAAAAAUAAGUUAAUACAUUAACUGUGUUAAGAUAAGAUUUAGAUUUUUAAAAAAGUUGUUUAUGUUUUUGCAGAAUCCAGUAUUGCUCACUGGUUGGUCAUUACAUUUUAUUAGUUUGAUUUCACUGUUUAAAAUGAUGCCACCUCUUUUCAGACAGAACCUGUGAUAAUAAAACAAUACAAAAUUUUUAGUUCCGUGUUAAUAAAGCACUUAAAGCUUUAA